UCUUUCGUAGUUUAGUGGCUAUGACGCACCCCUGUCAUCAUGUGCCUGCGCUGUGAGGUUACAGUGACGGGUGAGACCCGGGUUCGAUUCCCGGCGAGAGAG
rnacentral:tRNA from 1 species